rnacentral:lncRNA from 1 species
GGAGAAGAUUUUUGUAAAAGUUUACGGACAACAGAUAAAGGACACCAAGUGAUGAGAAAAGCUCACUUGACCUUUCAGGUCAGGUGAGCUAAAAAUGUAUACAAGCUUUAGAAACAGAAAAGAAUUAGGCUUGCCAAACAGUAGAGUACAAAUAAAUUUGAAACUUUCCUUCAAUGGAUGAAUAUUGUUUGUUUUAUGUAUCAAUUUUUAUUCAGCAUUCCAAUAUAAGGCAUUCUUAAAGUAACAAAGAAAAGUAUUUAGAAUUUGAUUAAUAUGCAAUCUGAAUAUAUUUUGCACUAUAAACCAAUACAGUAGACUCCACGUAAUCGGAUAUCAGCUAAACGAAUAUAUCAGCUAUUGUAAUAUUAUUUCAAAACACCAAACCCUUCCCUAUGUUUAAUGUUAAUUUCAUUGUGUAAUAGAAUAUAGGACAAAAGAAUAUAUCGGCAAAUCGGAUAAGAAUAUUCAGGUAAAUUUGUUCAAAACCAUGCCCAAUCAGAUAUUUUCAAUGUUUUUCUGACAGGAAAUGGACCCGAAGUUGCGAAUUUACAAUCUUGCAGACAAGAAGAUUUUGUUUUUAC